rnacentral:rRNA from 1 species
UACGUAGGUGACAAGCGUUGUCCGGAUUUACUGGGCGUAAAGAGCGUGUAGGCGGCCAGACAAGUCUGCUGUGAAAACUCGAGGCUCAACCUCGAGCUGUCGGUGGAAACUGUCUGGCUAGAGUCCGGAAGAGGAGAGUGGAAUUCCUGGUGUAGCGGUGAAAUGCGCAGAUAUCAGGAAGAACACCUAUGGCGAAGGCAGCUCUCUGGGACGGUACUGACGCUGAGACGCGAAAGCGUGGGGAGCGAACAGG